rnacentral:rRNA from 1 species
AGUGAACGCUGGCGGUAGGCCUAACACAUGCAAGUCGAACGGCAGCACAGUAAGAGCUUGCUCUUUCGGGAGGCGAGUGGCGGACGGGUGAGGAAUACAUCGGAAUCUACUUUUUCGUGGGGGAUCACGUAGGGAAACUUACUCUAAUACCGCAUACGACCUACGGGUGAAAGCAGGGGCUCUUCGGACCUUGCGCGAUUGAAUGAGCCGAUGUGGGAUUAGCUAGUUGGCGGGGUAAAGGCCCACCAAGGCGACGAUCCGUAGCUGGUCUGAGAGGAUGAUCAGCCACACUGGAACUGAGACACGGUCCAGACUCCUACGGGAGGCAGCAGUGGGGAAUAUUGGACAAUGGGCGCAAGCCUGAUCCAGCCAUGCCGCGUGGGUGAAGAAGGCCUUCGGGUUGUAAAGCCCUUUUGUUGGGAAAGAAAAGCAGCAGGUUAAUACCCCGCUGUUCUGACGGUACCCAAAGAAUAAGCACCGGCUAACUUCGUG